CCUGGCUCAGAUUGAACGCUGGCGGCAGGCCUAACACAUGCAAGUCGAACGGUAGCACAGAGAGCUUGCUCUCGGGUGACGAGUGGCGGACGGGUGAGUAAUGUCUGGGAAACUGCCUGAUGGAGGGGGAUAACUACUGGAAACGGUAGCUAAUACCGCAUAACGUCGCNAGACCAAAGAGGGGGACCUUCGGGCCUCUUGCCAUCAGAUGUGCCCAGAUGGGAUUAGCUAGUAGGUGGGGUAACGGCUCACCUAGGCGACGAUCCCUAGCUGGUCUGAGAGGAUGACCAGCCACACUGGAACUGAGACACGGUCCAGACUCCUACGGGAGGCAGCAGUGGGGAAUAUUGCACAAUGGGCGCAAGCCUGAUGCAGCCAUGCCGCGUGUAUGAAGAAGGCCUUCGGGUUGUAAAGUACUUUCAGCGGGGAGGAAGGGAGUAAGGUUAAUAACCUUAUUCAUUGACGUUACCCGCAGAAGAAGCACCGGCUAA
rnacentral:rRNA from 1 species